rnacentral:rRNA from 1 species
GACGAACGCUGGCGGCAUGCCUAAUACAUGCAAGUCGAGCGAACAGAUGAAGUGCUUGCACUUCUGACGUUAGCGGCGAACGGGUGAGUAACACGUAAGGAAUCUACCUAUAAGCGGGGGAUAACAUUCGGAAACGGGUGCUAAUACCGCGUAAUAUCUUCUUCCGCAUGGAAGAAGAUUGAAAGACGGCUCUGCUGUCACUUAUAGAUGACCUUGCGGUGCAUUAGUUAGUUGGUGGGGUAACGGCCUACCAAGACGAUGAUGCAUAGCCGACCUGUGAGGGUGAUCGGCCACAUUGGGACUGAGACACGGCCCAAACUCCUACGGGAGGCAGCAGUAGGGAAUCUUCCGCAAUGGGCGAAAGCCUGACGGAGCAAUGCCGCGUGAGUGAAGAAGGCCUUCGGGUCGUAAAACUCUGUUAUAAGAGAAGAACAAAUUGUAGAGUAACUGCUGCAGUCUUGACGGUAUCUUAUCAGAAAGCCACGGCUAACUACGUGCCAGCCGCCGCAGUAA